rnacentral:rRNA from 1 species
AGGGAAACUUGGACUAAUACCGUAUACGUCCGUGAGGAGAAAGAUUUAUCGCCCCUAGACGGGCCCGCGUAGGAUUAGGUAGUUGGUGAGGUAACGGCUCACCAAGCCUACGAUCCUUAGCUGUAUCGAGAGGAUGAUCAGCCACACUGGGACUGAGACACGGCCCAGACUCCUACGGGAGGCAGCAGUGGGGAAUCUUGGACAAUGGGCGCAAGCCUGAUCCAGCCAUGCCGCGUGAGUGAAGAAGGCCUUCGGGUUGUAAAGCUCUUUUACCAGGGACGAUAAUGACGGUACCU